UACGGAGGGUGCGAGCGUUGUCCGGAAUCACUGGGCGUAAAGGGCGUGUAGGCGGUUUGUUAAGUCAUGUGUGAAAUCCCUCGGCUCAACCGGGGAACGACGCAUGAAACUGGCAAGCUAGAGUACAGAAGGGACAACUGGAAUUCUCGGUGUAGCGGUGAAAUGCGUAGAUAUCGAGAGGAACACCUGCGGCGAAGGCGGGUUGCUGGGCUGAUACUGACGCUGAGGCGCGAAAGCUAGGGGAGCAAACAGG
rnacentral:rRNA from 1 species